UACGGAGGUGGGCAAGCGUUGCUCGGAAUCACUGGGCGUAAAGGGCGCGUAGGCGGGGAGGUAAGUCGGGUGUGAAAUCCCUCGGCCCAACCGAGGAACUGCGCCCGAGACUGCUUCUCCUGAGUCCCGGAGAGGAAGAUGGAAUUCCCGGUCGUAGCGGUGAAAUGUGUAGAGAUCGGGAGGAACACCGGUGGCGAAGGCGGUCUUCUGGACGGUGACUGACGCUGAGGCGCGAAAGCGUGGGGAGCAAACGGG
rnacentral:rRNA from 1 species